UUGAGGGCUACUCUGGAGUCAACUGUGAGAGGGGUAGGUAGUUCCUGUGUUGAGGGCUACUCUGGAGUCAACUGUGAGAGGGGUAGGUAGUUCCUGUGUUGAGGGCUACUCUGGAGUCAACUGUGAGAGGGGUAGGUAGUUACUGUGUUGAGGGCUACUCUGGAGUCAACUGUGAGAGGGGUAGGUAGUUACUGUGUUGAGGGCUACUCUGGAGUCAACUGUGAGAGGGGUAGGUAGUUCCUGUGUUGAGGGCUACUCUGGAGUCAACUGUGAGAGGGGUAGGUAGUUACUGUGUUGAGGGCUACUCUGGAGUCAACUGUGAGAGGGGUAGGUAGUUCCUGUGUUGAGGGCUACUCUGGAGUCAACUGUGAGAGGGGUGGGUAGUUACUGUGUUGAGGGCUACUCUGGAGUCAACUGUGAGAGGGGUAGGUAGUUCCUGUGUUGAGGGCUACUCUGGAGUCAACUGUGAGAGGGGUGGGUAGUUACUGUGUUGAGGGCUACUCUGGAGUCAACUGUGAGAGGGGUAGGUAGUUCCUGUGUUGAGGGCUACUCUGGAGUCAACUGUGAGAGGGGUAGGUAGUUACUGUGAGAGGGGUAGGUAGUUCCUGUGUUGAGGGCUACUCUGGAGUCAACUGUGAGAGGGGUAGGUAGUUCCUGUGUUGAGGGCUACUCUGGAGUCAACUGUGAGAGGGGUAGGUAGUUACUGUGUUGAGGGCUACUCUGGAGUCAACUGUGAGAGGGGUAGGUAGUUACUGUGUUGAGGGCUACUCUGGAGUCAACUGUGAGAGGGGUAGGUAGUUCCUGUGUUGAGGGCUACUCUGGAGUCAACUGUGAGAGGGGUAGGUAGUUACUGUGUUGAGGGCUACUCUGGAGUCAACUGUGAGAGGGGUAGGUAGUUCCUGUGUUGAGGGCUACUCUGGAGUCAACUGUGAGAGGGGUAGGUAGUUACUGUGUUGAGGGCUACUCUGGAGUCAACUGUGAGAGGGGUGGGUAGUUACUGUGUUGAGGGCUACUCUGGAGUCAACUGUGAGAGGGGUAGGUAGUUACUGUGUUGAGGGCUACUCUGGAGUCAACUGUGAGAGGGGUAGGUAGUUACUGUGUUGAGGGCUACUCUGGAGUCAACUGUGAGAGGGGUAGGUAGUUCCUGUGUUGAGGGCUACUCUGGAGUCAACUGUGAGAGGGGUAGGUUAGUUACUGUG